GAUCAUGGCUCAGGAUGAACGCUAGCUACAGGCUUAACACAUGCAAGUCGAGGGGCAGCAUCAUCAAAGCUUGACUUUGAUGGAUGGCGACCGGCGCACGGGUGAGUAACACGUAUCCAACCUGCCGGACAACACUGGGAUAGCCUUUCGAAGAAAGAUUAAUACCGGAUGGCAUAGUUUUCCCGCAUGGGAUAAUUAUUAAAAGAAUUUCGGUUGUCGAUGGGAUGCGUUCCAUUAGG
rnacentral:rRNA from 1 species